rnacentral:lncRNA from 1 species
UUUUUCUUUUUUUUGUUUUUUUGGUUUAAGCCACAGCCAUGGGCAUACGAAAAUUCCUGGGCAAGGGGUUGAACCCCAGCCAGAGCUGCAACCUAUGCCGCAGCUGUAACAAUGCCAGAUCCUUAACCUACUGUGCCACAGAAGGAACUCCUAGACAGGUUAUUUUGUGGCCAGAUAUUUUUUUCAGACUGCUUAAGGGUACUGCUUUUACACUAGGUGAAACACAAAUAUAUUUUUAGCAUAAAAGAAGGAGCUCUGAGUUAGAGCACUUCUAAAAAUGUAAUUCUGACUUUUAACUCCUGGUGUCAGAGAUAAUCAGAUCAAGCUAAAGUCGAUUCUUAUUAAUGUUCUUCAUUAAUCUUACAUUUUCCAACUUAUUUGGGUCUCCUGAGAUCGUUAAGUAAACUGUUGCUUUAAAUUACCUAUUUUAACUUGAAAAAUAAAGAGGAAAAAGGUAAAGAUUUACAAAAAGCACAAAACAAGCAAACAAAAACUCCAUUAGGCCUAGACAAAAGAGCAUUUGCACAAAUACAUUCUUUAUGUUUAAACCUUUGAUUUUCCUUAAGUUUCUAAUUCUUAAUAUAGUCCCGUAGUAGAAAGGUCAGUUUGAAGAGCCAGAAAAAUGCUUAUAUGAUGCUCAUCCAGGCAUGAAUUUCAAAACCCUCUCAGCUUUAUAAAUGUGAAUGUGGAUUGCUUUUGCUCUCAAUGCAUUUUUCUCAAUACAAUAAGGAGGACAAUAUUCUGAGUUUGAGGUUUGUAUCACAACACAUUUUUGAAUUUUGCAGGCAAAAGAAAGUGUUGGAGUCUCAUGGUCCAGUAGGGAACACAUUUCCCCCCAUCCAUUCUAGAAUAUAAUUCAAAAGUGGCAAAGCUAGUUUUAUCUAAGCUCCUCAAAACAUUCACCUUUGGCCCUAUGUCAAUAAAAAAAGUUUUACCUCCUAAGAAUUGCUUUCUGAAGUUUUACUAGAAAAUUCAUCUUUACCUCAGCAGGCAAUGAAUAUCAACUAUUCAGCUCUGUCUUUAUCACGUGCAACAAUAUAGCUCAGCUAAAACCAAAGGUGGGAUUUGUUUCAACAAAGAGGGAAUCUUUAUGGCUAGUUAUUAGGAAAUCAGUCCACAAUUAAUUUUCUGAAAAUGUCCCAAUACAUAAUUUCUGAAUAGAUCGGAGAGACAGAUGGUGAAUGUAUGUAGACACAGUAAAAUACUUUUUGAUUCAAUAUAAUUAAUUGAAAACUAAUGAAAAAUUUCUAAUUCUCAGAAUAAAUCCAGUUUAGUAAUUGGAAUUUUGCUAAAUUAGAAGUCGCUAGAACUUUCUACCAAAUUGAUAGUGAUUUCAGUCUUCAGUUGUGACUUUUGGCAGAUCUUGUAUAGAAGCUGUGGAGUUCUUAACACUAGCAAAAAUAUACAAUGUUUCAAUGUGCGUAUGUGUGUAUGUGCCUUCAAUUUUCAUAUGAAUCAGCUCCUUGCUUUCAAUAAAUAUUAAAAUAUUUCUCUACUGACAUUGCAAACAGCUGCUUCACUAUUUCCACCAAUUGGAGUAAGAUUUUCCAGUGCCAAAACGUGGAAGCAGGUGGAACAAAUGGACUAAAAAAAAUAUCCUGGUAAAGUGACGUUUGACAAUUGAUUACUUGAGUAAAGCUAACCUGACAAUUUAUUUUAUUUAUUUAUUUAUUUAUUUUAUUCUUUAUUUAUUUAUUUAUUUUUUGUCUUUUCUAGGGCCGAACCUGCAACAUAUGGAGGUUCCCAUGCUAGGAGUCUAACUGGGGCUGAAGCCACUGGCCUACACCAGAGCCAUAGCAAUGUGGGAUCUGAGCUGUGUCUGCAACCUACACCACAGCUCACGGCAAUGCUGGAUCCUUAACCCACUGAGCGAGGCCAGGGAUCGAACCCGCAACCUCAUGAUUCCUAGUUGGAUUCGUUAACCACAUUUUAAAUCUACACGAUAUUAGACAUUACACUAUAUUUCAAUGUUACUAUCAUUUUCUAUUUUAACUACACAGGAACCAGCGUUAUAGAAAAUUGGGUUCAUUUUCAAUGCCUCUCACUUAUAUGUCACUGAUUUUCCAAAAUAUCUCUUUAUUUUGAUUAUUAAAGCAACCAGAUUGAACUGCAUCACAGGUGCAAAAUGAUUUGGUACAUUAUUUGAUGGAAUGUAAAGUGUGGAAAAGGUAGGCAAUAGGCAAGAGACUUAUCUAAAAUUACAUAACUGCAAAUUUGAGAAUACAGUGGAAAGAAGUUAAGAGCUGAAGUUGAAAGUAGAAGAAAUAAGAAUUAUGUUAGCUUAAGGGAAACUUUUUCCUUAAAAUUACUUUUUGAAAGGAUUUCCCUUAAUACAAACUUUACUGAACUGUAGAAAAUAAAGAGAAAGAUAGAUAAAGUAGCAUGGCAAUCUGUGGGUGUAGGAGUUAGAAUCAUAAAACAUCCACUUGGUUUCAGGAAAUAGGACAAAGAGGUUAAAUUGGAGCUUCAAAGGAUACUUUAGAGCUGUUAUUCCUUAACAGGAAAGUGUAAAUUACGAAGAGAAAGUCAAGAAGAAAAACACUAACAUUCAUUUAAAAUUUUUCUAGUACUUUUUUUUUUUUUCAUCAUAUUGUCCAGGAAAUCUAGCUUAUGAAGUAAGAAAACACAUCCUGAGCAUUAACUUGUGGAUUUAUAAAACAAAUAUUUGGACAUGAUCUGUGAGAAUGGACUUUUAAAAGUAAGUCAUUCAAGUUUACCACGUUAAAAUCAGUCUAUGUUUUAUGAAACAUGUCAUUUCCUAAGUUGAUCACUUAAGAUCUACAUUGUUCUCCAAACGCUAAGAUUUAAAUUUUUUGCCCUAAGCAACACCGUGGCAAGAAGGGAGAGAGGCAACUAAGAAUCUAUCUCGAAGUCUGAAAAAACUUAAUAAUGUGAAGAAGCUCUCUGGAAUUUAAUUUCAUUUUUUUUGUAAUUCAUUUGACUAAUGCACCUUCUCUCCUGUCCAGCUGCCAUGCAGAGUGCCUGCCUUCUGUCUCCGUAUCUCUGCUCAUCUGCCAUCUCCCACAGGUGAUUUUUGACUGUUUCUGUUUACUAUCAACUUUUCAUGACAUUCAGCAUCCCCUCCACAACCCCACCCCAUGUCACGCUG